rnacentral:rRNA from 1 species
CCUACGGGAGGCAGCAGUGAGGAAUAUUGGUCAAUGGACGCAAGUCUGAACCAGCCAUGCCGCGUGCAGGAAGACGGUCCUAUGAGUUGUAAACUGCUUUUGUACGAGGGUAAACGCAGAUACGCGUAUCUGUCUGAAUGUAUCGUACGAAUAAGGCUCGGCUAACUCCGUGCCAGCAGCCGCGGUAAUACGGAGGAUUCAAGCGUUAUACGGAUUUAUUGGGUUUAAAGGGUUGGUAGGCGGUAGGAUAAGUUAGAGGUGAAAUCCUGAGGCUCAACUUCGGAACUGCCUUUGAUACUGUUCGGCUAGAGAGUAGUUGAGGUAGGCGGAAUGUAUGGUGUAGCGGUGAAAUGCUUAGAUAUCAUACAGAACACCGAUUGCGAAGGCAGCUUACCAAGCUACUACUGACGUUGAGGCACGAAAGCGUGGGGAGCAAACAGGAUUAGAUACCCCUGUAGUC